CCUAGCUCAGAUCGACCCCUCCCCCCGUUGCCCCCUUCCUCCCUCGUCUCCAUCUCCUCGCUGCCGCCCCCUUCCCGAUCUAGAUUCCUGCUCCGCCGCCCCUCCCUUCCACCACCCAGUCGCCCCCUCAGCAGAUCAAGCGAGCCGCCCAACCUCACCGGCCUCCUCCGUCUCUUCCGGUCAGAUCUGACGGGCACAUCUUCCUGCAGCCACGAGCGACCACCCCGGCCUCCACUCCACCGCCGGCAUCCUUUCCCCUACCUCUCCGUAGAUCCUUUUGAGCAGCCACCUCAAGGGCGGCGCCGCCACCAGCCGCGGCGGAGAGGUGGAUCCCCGACACCCCUGAUGGCUUCGCCGUCCCCAGGAGCCACUUCACCCCGCGCCUGAGUGCCAGCUGCUGCUCCUACCGCGUCACCGCGCCGGUGAGCAGCGGCGGAUGCUCCCGGCCGCCGAGGGCGCCGCCGGCGACGGAUUCUCCAUACGUGAGGGCGAAGCAGGUGCAGGUUCGUGUGGGACGAGGGCAAGUACCCCGUCAACGCCCCGCUCAAGGAGACCGUCGCCAGCAUCCAAUCCCAAGUCGCCAAGAUCGAGGACGACAUGAAGGUUAGAGUUGCUAAAUACGGUAAUGUUAAGAGCCAGCUUGGCGCAAUCAACAGGAAGCAAACUGGAAGGCUCAAGGUGAAGAAGGCCAUUGAGAAGGGCAUCGCUAACGGCGCCCGGAUCUAUGUCGAGAACGCCAUCCACAUGCGCACCGAGCACAUGAACUACCUCCCGCCUUGCCCCAUACGCCCAUGAGUGAUAUAUACUACUUGUCUGCUGUUGUAUCAUAUUGCUUACCUUUUUACAUCAUAUUUAUGUAUGGUAAAUGUCGUCUCAUCAACUAUGAAGAGAAUUGGUGGUGGUUAGGGUGUUCUGGUGCUUAUGUAAUCUUCUUUCAGGCCUUUCGAGAUAGAGUUCUUAAGCUAACAAGUUUAGCAAAUGCUGCGGUGCUUAUGGUUUAGUUUUACACCUGUGUAAAAAUGAAUGGUUGCUACUUUUUCUGGUUUUAGGUUGGGAUGAGAUGCAUGUUUGCAUGCUUGUGAUUCUGUCAGUACAAUCUAUACUACUGCUAUUGUCAUAUCCUGGUUGUUUUGUUGCUAUCAA